UAAUAUUAUCAUCUACAAAGAAAAUAUUGUCAAUAUUCCUUGCAACAGAGGUAGAUUGUACGUUACCCGCUUCGUUUAUUUUAUCUAGAAAUAAAUUUAGUUAGAAAUAUAAAUCAACUAAAAUUCGAACUUUAAAUAUCGGGUACUAACCAUCAAAUCCUUUGCCACUUGCUCUAGGGACGGUCGGUAACUAUAAAUAUUCUUUUUUGAACUAUACACAAACAUAUCCCUUUUCUUUUUCAUUUUUUUAAAACAUUUGAAACUAUCAAGCACUUACACGACAUAAUUAAAUCAGUUUGGUAUUGACCGUCUCUAAAGCAAGUGACAAAGGUUUGAUGAUUGGUAUCCGAGACCCAAGUUCGAAUCCUAGUUGAUUCACAUUUUCAGCUAAGUUUAUUUCUAAAUGAAAUAAAACGAAGCGGGUAGCGUGCUAUCUAU
rnacentral:lncRNA from 1 species